rnacentral:rRNA from 1 species
CGACUUAACGUCCAGGCUGGAUUCGGAGACAAACGGCAAACCUUAUGCUCAAGCUGUGCUGUGCUUUGUCAAGUCAAGGUUCUGCCUAUUUCUUUCAAAAUGCGCUGGGACUUGUGUACCGUGCCGUGGAUUUGAUAGAGUGGAACUGGAGAGAAGGAAAACACUUGCAGACUUGAAAGAACAGAUACCGAAUCGAAUCUGCAGUGAGCAAGGAGCCCGGUAGACGACUAUAAGACGAUGAUGUAUUUUGAUAACUGAGCGAAGCGGAUAAUCAUAGUCAUAUAUAUAACACGACGACACCAAACACUCGAGGUCCCUACUUCAGCGGCGGCCCUUGCUGCUACCACCGCCGAGACCACGUAGACGACCAGCGGAAGUCGCGGCGGCACAACCGGCGACGGCCGCCGCUCGUCGGCGACAGCUUCUAGCCGUAGGUGGCCCGGUGGAACCGCUAGGUAGGCCCGCGGAGGCAGCUGCAGAGCGGCGAGGAGGAGCCGGACGUCCCCGUCCUGGUUCUUACCCACUGGUAGCCUAAAUUGUUGGGGUUCGGCAGUUUCCUACUGACCUAACCCCAGAAAAGGGGACGAUUAAAGUCACUGAGGUAAACGGGCAGCCUCUUGGUUACCCAGCUCCGGGGGGAAAACACGUGCCGAGGAUAAUUCAAGGUUAUACGUUUGAUGUGCUGCCGGCUGAUACGUUUCUGACCUUUCCCCAGGAACUCCGAAGUCUAUUAAUUAGUCUCCUCACUAUAUAGUAAGCGUAACAAAAGACCUCCGGAGAGUUUAGGCUUCGAAUAACGUGCAAGUUUAUCGUAUUGAAAGCGUUUGGGCUUCCGAGGACACAUGGGUGCGGACCGUGUUCCUUUCAGGACCCUACUUUACUGUCACUGUACCUGUUCACCUAUGUCAUGGUUCCUCCGAUGUGGCAAACAACUUACCCCGUAUGUCCCAGUUUAGGUUUAGGAAAGAGGACGUCCGUGGGAAUGCAAGUCAGCGCUGUGAUACACACCGGGCGGACGAUCCUGUCAACCUACCGCACUAGGACCAAAGUAUGUAUGUUCAAAGGAGUUCCUGGAUACCGGAUUAGAAUUCAUGUGCAUGUCCUAACCGGUAACCGAUAAGUUACCAGUUUAACAAACCCCAGUAGUCUUGUCGAAGUUUCGCGGAGGGAUAGGACCCCUCCUAAGAAACGUUGCACAACAGUAUAAACCUCUAAACCCGUUCCGGCUCUAACUACCGAGUUUACUUAUGUUACUGAAACUCGCACCAAGCUAGUUGUGAUGAAUGGUCGAUCAAUUCCUGAACUUCUUAUAGCUAUACCACUACGUAUAGCCUCUGUAGACGAUGCGGUCACCAAUAGACAGUGUCACCCUAGUCAAGUGACGUGUUCAACUUGGGUAACGGAGAUGACAUGGAAUGUACCACCGUUCGCCAUUGGUGCUUUCUCUGACCGGACCUAGUCCGAGGAAAAUACCCUGAGACCUGAGCCCGCCGCUUACGCCGCACGGUCGAGUCUUGUACAAGAUACACGGUCGUCUCUUGGCACUCGUCAAGACCAUGAGCUGCCUGAUGCCCUACAAGGCCAAGACGUAUCGGUUGUGCCUCGACCUGACCGCCGGUCCGUGGCUCGUCAUGUUCAAGUAGCUCGUGACGAACAGCAGGCACCUGGCCGUCUUCGUCGGCACCGAGUAGAAGGAGCGGGUGGCGCAGGACCCCAUGAGCAGCCGGUGGAAGAUGCCGCGGCUUCCCUGCUGCCUCCUCGGGUACCCGUCCCUCUCGGAGGUCGAGGAGACCGUCUUCAUGUCCCAGCUGUAGCGGUACAUGCCGGUGCAGGUGCCGAUGCUCGCUUGCACGGGUCAUAUGCUCUUGCACACGCACCGCUUCCCCAGCCUGGCCAUGUCGCCGCGCAAGUGCCGCUGCUGCGUGCACCACCACCCGCCGCCGCCCCGCUCGGACCGCCUCAUGUGCCGCCUCGCCCGCGCCACCUCGGUGCGCGUCCUGGACCUGAUGCCCAAGCGGUUCGACUGCCGGAAGUUGGUGUGCUGCGACGAGUACCUCAUGUUCGCCUCGUCCCUGCCGUCGCACGCGCUGUCGAAGUGGCAGAGCGCGCUGAUGGCGCUGCAGGAGCGGACGCCGCAGCUGUUGACGCGGUCGUGGUGGUACCGCAGAAUCGUGGCGAGACAUACGACGGCGAGCCAACACAACCAACAACCUAGCUACCUGCGUUAAAACCAGAGCACUACUAUGAACCUAUCUAUACGUCACAAAACUUAAAGCUACCGUUAUCGUCCUGUCGUCUGCCUUUUUGAGCAGUAAUCUCGUAGAGAAAAAAAAUUUUUUAUUUUUGAAAGUUAAAUAUAAGUAGUUUGUAGUACUGUCAUGUACAUAGUGGAUCG